rnacentral:lncRNA from 1 species
AUUUACAAAGUGAGAGAUUAUUUGAGCUGCAAGGUGCUUAAAAGGAUACCGAGUGAAAUGCUUCAUUUUUAGAACUGAAAUGUUUGUCAAAGGAAGCCAGAAGAAUAGAUGAGAAACAAGGUCGGGGGCGGAAACAGGUAGGAACAAGACUUAUUUUUGUGUCAUUUUGAUUUGUGAACCAUACGAUGUUUAGCUAUUUGAAAUAAGCUGAAAGUCUUGUGGUAGUGGCGUUAUCCAUU